CUACAAUUUUAGGGGGGAUGCUGCUUUCUGAAAAGGAAAAGGAAAAAUGGAGGUCAACAAUAGACAGCGAUGCUUUACCUAUAUUGAAAUUAAGUUUUGAUAAUUUGCCUUCUACAUCUCUGCAACGCUGUUUUGCUUAUUGUUCUAUUUUUCCUAAAGAUUUUGAGAUUGAAAAGGAGAAAGUGAUUCAGCUUUGGAUGGCUGAAGGGUUGCUUGGGCCAUCUGGUAGAGAGAUGGAAGAUACAGGUGAUAUACGCUUUAAUGACCUGCUUGCACGUUCGUUUUUCCAAGAUUUCCAAACGGAUGAGCUUGGGAAUGUAAUCAGUUGCAAGAUGCCCAAUCUUGUGCACGAUCUUGCUUUGAUGGUGUCAAAAUCAGAGACAGUGAUUUGGAAGGCUGGUUCAGAUAUAAAGGGUACAGUUUGUAUCGGACGUCUAAAUCUCAUUUCUUCUGAUGAGAGAAAUGAACCUGUAUUUCUAAAGGAUGGUGCUAGAAAAUUGCGUACAUUAUUCUCAGGAUUCCUUAACAAGUCUUGGGAAUUCAGAGGUUUGCGAAGUCUGACCUUGAAUGAUGCUCGUAUGACAGAGUUGCCAGGUUCAAUUUGCAGGAUGAAACUUUUGAGGUAUCUAGACGUUUCACGAACAGAUAUCAAAGCGCUCCCGAAAUCUAUCACGAAGCUCUAUCAUUUGCAAACCUUAAGAUUCAGCGAGUGCCGGUCACUCAAAAAGCUUCCCAAGAAAAUGGAAUAUUUGUUGAGCUUGAGACAUAUUGACUUUAGUCAUACGCCAGCUCAUGUUGGAUGCUUAACUGGUCUUCGAACACUGCCAUUGUUUGAAGUGGGUCGGGAUAAGGGCCACAAUAUUAAAGAGCUGGGAUGCUUGAAGGAACUAGGAGGGGAGUUGAGAAUAGUCAAUCUGGAGCAUGUAAGAGCCAAAGAAGAAGCCAAGGGAGCAAACCUGUCUGGAAAAUCAAAGAUUAACUCAUUAGUAUUGGUAUGGAAUCCAAGCAGCGGCUCCAGGAUCAAUGAGAAGAAUGUGUUGGAAGGCCUCCAGCCUCACCCAAAGAUACGAAGCUUAGAGAUUGAGAACUAUAAGGGUGAUGAAUUCCCACCAUGGCUUUUAAAACUCAAUAAUUUGGUGGUGCUGAAAUUGAAAGGCCAUUUUCCUCAUCUUGAAAUUCUUGAGUUAGAAGAAUUGGAUAGUUUAAGUUAUAUCGUCAGUGGAUAUAGAACAAUGGCUGCUGCUUUGUGUCCAGCUUUAAAAAGAGUGUCUCUAAAGCACAUGAAUAAUCUAAUGGAAUGGACAAUACCUGAAGCAGCAGCUGGAGGAAUGGAAGUAGCAUUUCCUUGCCUUGAAGAGUUGGAAUUUGAUAAGUGUCCGAAGUUGAAAAGCAUUCCAUCUAUGAGGCAUUUUUCAUCAAAACUUGUAAGAUUGACAAUCAGAGACUGUGAUGCAUUGAGUCAUAUAUCUGGUGGAGUACAAGUACUAUUUCCUCUUCUCGAAGAGUUGUACAUUGAACGUUGCAGGGAGUUGAAAAGCAUUCCAUCAAUGAGCCAUCUCUCAUCAAAACUUUUAAGAUUGACAAUCAGACACUGUGAUGCAUUGAGUGAUAUAUCUGGCGAAUUUCAAUCCUCUAUGACAUCUUUUAAAUAUUUAACCAUAGAGUAUUGUUCCAGCCUGGCAUCCAUUCCAAGCCUUCAAAACUGCACAGCUCUGAAGGUAUUGUCUAUUUAUAAGUGCUCUAAGGUGGUGCCUAUUAUUCUAGAAUUGCAUUCUCUUAGAAGUGUAUCCAUCCGUUCGUGUGAAGAAGCAUGUGUUCGAAUUAGGUGGCCACUAUCCUGCGCAAAUCUGGAGGAUUUGAAAAUAGAGCACUGCAGGGAGCUUAUCUUUGAUGAUGAUGCUGAUGCUGAUGAUGAUUUACAUGGAGGAGAAUUGUUGCCUUCUUCUUGUCUUCAAUCACUAGUCAUUAUGCGUUGUGAAUACUUGAAGUCUGUUCCUGAUGGUUUAGAAAGAAGACUGCAUUCUCUUGUUCGAUUAGAUAUCAGUGGGUGUCCGAAUUUAAGUUAUAUUCCGGAAGAUUUCUUUGGCGGCCUCAAGAAAUUGGAGGUAUUGCACAUUGGUGGUUUCUCAGAGGAAUUGGAGGCAUUUCCUGGAAUGAAUUCAACCCACCACCUGAGUGGUUCCCUCAAAGAGCUAAAGAUAAUUGGAUGGAAGAAACUGAAGAGUCUACCAAAUCAACUUCAACACCUCAUCUCCCUUAAGAAAUUAAAGGUCUAUGGUUUCAACGGAGAGGAAUUUGAGGAAACUUUGCCACAUUGGUUAGCCAACCUUUCUUCUCUUCGAGAGCUUACAAUUUUGGAAUGUCAGAAUCUCAAGUAUCUUCCAAGUUCAACUGACAUGCAACGCCUCUCCAAAUUAACACUUCUGGACAUUAGGAGUUGUCCGCUUCUUGAGCGAAAUUGCUUAAAGGGCAGCGGGUCUGAAUGGCCCAGGAUUUCUCAUAUCCCAAGUAUCAAUAUAGGACUAGAGCGCAACUCCUCCAAUAUUAAAUAAAUAGCAAGUGAGGGAGCACAAUCUUAUUAUCAAUUUCAUCAGCUGGAUUUCUCGCUGGCUUAAUCUUUAACAUAACCAGGAGACGGCGAUCCGGUACAAAAGAGACAAGGCCUCCGUGCUGCACAGCCAGCCCUUCGCUUUGACUUCUGACAGGAGCAGCAGUGGAUCAAGAAAGUUUCAAUUGUGCUUCUCUCUGACAUUUUAAGGAAACAUCUCCACCUCCAGAGGUUUAAUCAUUUGUGAGUGUUUUGGCAAUUGAGAUGAACUAUACAGUGGAUUUGGUUGAGUAGAUGAUGGAAAAGUACUAGAUAGGAUGCACUGCUCUAUUUUUUCCGUCAUGGUUUACUAGCCCAACCAAGUGAAAGCAUUUCAAGAACAGCAAGGACAAAUGGUGAAAUAUAGAGGACCGGAUAAAGAGGCAGGCUAGAACAUGAAAUGCUUUUGAAUAUGUGAGCUUGGGAAAAGGUUAAGGGGGAAAAGUCUUCUUGAGUUUGUUAGACAAUUAUUCAACAUUACUGUUUAUCAGUGCAAAGAGAUGCAUGAAAUGCAUUUGGUUACUGUUGUGAGACUUAAAGUUGGUGAUUCACUGGAAUUACUCUUAUUUAGGGUUUGGAGCGGAGAUGGCUCCAUUAACUCACUAAGGUAUUUGGCAUUGCAGAUAGUGUCAGGUUUCUGCAUGAGAUUAUUAACCAUCCAAUCCCUUGUGUUGAAGUUGACGCAACAUGGUCUCCCAGCAAACAAACCAGCCCCUGGAGUUGACUGAAGGACUGC